rnacentral:sRNA from 1 species
AAUCGGCGCAUUUAGGAAGUGGGGUGCCAAAGUGGGUUGCUCCCGUUUGAAAGAGAAGCACAAGCAGCUGCAGUUCUGCAACAAAUUCACUGCGAAUCAGAAUGGGGGGAGUCGAAACUGGAGCAUGUUAGCGUGUUGGUGAAGGUGUGGACUUGGAUUACUGAUAAUUUGGAUAAUUUGUAUUCGUGUCCGUGUGGGUUGAGCUGUUUGUGGACUAAAUCUUAUGUUCUUGUUAACAAGCCUGAUGCUUUGCUGUUUGAGACCACUACACCUCCCCUUCAGCUCAAAGAAGGAAGGGAUUGGAAGAUGUGCAUCAGCUGCAUAAUUGAAUUGAGGAGAGAGAGACUGAUUUCUUGCCUUCUCCAAUUCCUUCCUUCUGGGAUUUGUCUUGGUAUUCUGCAAGGAAGGCUGAGAUGGAAGUUAUCAGGUCCGAAAUGCUCGAUAGG